rnacentral:pre_miRNA from 1 species
CACCACCCUGAUGGAGCAUGAUUUUCUUUAGUGGGGCUUUGGUGCUCACUGAGUCUGCCCCUUGAGUGUGUUGCU